rnacentral:rRNA from 1 species
GAGGGGGGGAUAACUACUGGAAACGGUAGCUAAUACCGCAUAACGUCGCAAGACCAAAGAGGGGGACCUUCGGGCCUCUUGCCAUCGGAUGUGCCCAGAUGGGAUUAGCUAGUAGGUGGGGUAACGGCUCACCUAGGCGACGAUCCCUAGCUGGUCUGAGAGGAUGACCAGCCACACUGGAACUGAGACACGGUCCAGACUCCUACGGGAGGCAGCAGUGGGGAAUAUUGCACAAUGGGCGCAAGCCUGAUGCAGCCAUGCCGCGUGUAUGAAGAAGGCCUUCGGGUUGUAAAGUACUUUCAGCGGGGAGGAAGGCGAUAAGGUUAAUAACCUUGUCGAUUGACGUUACCCGCAGAAGAAGCACCGGCUAACUCCGUGCCAGCAGCCGCGGUAAUACGGAGGGUGCAAGCGUUAAUCGGAAUUACUGGGCGUAAAGCGCACGCAGGCGGUCUGUCAAGUCGGAUGUGAAAUCCCCGGGCUCAACCUGGGAACUGCAUUCGAAACUGGCAGGCUAGAGUCUUGUAGAGGGGGGUAGAAUUCCCAGGUGUAGCGGUGAAAUGCGUAGAAGA